rnacentral:rRNA from 1 species
GACGAACGCUGGCGGCGUGCUUAACACAUGCAAGUCGAGCGGUAAGGCCCUUUCGGGGGUACACGAGCGGCGAACGGGUGAGUAACACGUGGGUGACCUGCCCUCAGCUCUGGGAUAAGCCUGGGAAACCGGGUCUAAUACCGGAUAUGACUCCAUGACGCAUGUUGUGGGGUGGAAAGCCUUGUGCGGCUGAGGAUGGGCCCGCGGCCUAUCAGCUUGUUGGGGGGUGAUGGCCUACCAAGGCGACGACGGGUAGCCGGCCUGAGAGGGCGACCGGCCACACUGGGACUGAGACACGGCCCAGACUCCUACGGGAGGCAGCAGUGGGGAAUCUUGCGCAAUGGGCGAAAGCCUGACGCAGCGACGCCGCGUGAGGGAUGACGG